rnacentral:rRNA from 1 species
GUCUGUAUGGUCGCUAUAUAGAGUCUAGCCUGCCCACUGAUAUAAAUUGAAGGGCCGCGGUAUUUUGACCGUGCGAAGGUAGCAUAAUCAUUAGUCUUUUAAUUGGAGGCUUGUAUGAAUGGUUGGACAAAAAGUAAGCUGUCUUUACUAUAAAACUUGAAUUUAACUUUUAAGUGAAAAGGCUUAAAUAAUCUAAGGGGACGAUAAGACCCUAUAAAGCUUUAUAACAAAAUAAAAUGUAUUGUCAUUUGUCUAAAGUGUAACUCAAUUCAUGUGAGAGUUAUUUCGUUGGGGCGACGAGGAUAUAAUUAAAUAACUGUUCUUUAAUAAAAAUACACUAAUAGCUGUUUAAAAAUUGAUCCUUUAUUAAAGAUUAAAAGAUUAAGUUACUUUAGGGAUAACAGCGUAAUCUUCUUUAAGAGUCCAUAUCGACAAGAAGGGUUGCGACCUCGAUGUUGAAUUAAGGAGUCCUUGUGGUGCAGCAGUUACAAAGGAAGGUCUGUUCGACCUUUAAACCCUU